GCCACCGGUGUUAAGAGGCUCAGGAGCAUUGGCAUGAUCAACAGUGUCCCUGGAAUGAAAGCUUUGGACAUGAACGCUGCUGAGGACGCGAUUGUUAGACUUACCAGAGAGGUCGUACCUGGUAUGAUUGUCACAGGAAUGGAAGUUGCUGAAAUUGAUGGAGCACCACGAAUGGUUAGUAUGAAAUACUUGAACUCCUAUAUUGUAUAAACUCAUAAUUAGAAGUUAGAAAAGCAACAAACAAUUCAACUAAUUGGAGAUGUUAUACAUUGUACAGGGUCCAACUUUUGGAGCUAUGAUGAUAUCAGGACAGAAGGCAGCUCACCUCGCCCUACGAGCGUUGGGAUUGCCCAACGCCCUUGAUGGAACUGCAGAAACAAGCGUCCUCCCGGAGCUUAUGUUGGCUGCAGCUGAUGAAGCUGAAAUUGCUGAUGCUUGAAUGUAAUUAUAGUUUUCUAAGCAAGGAUUAUGAGA
rnacentral:lncRNA from 1 species